UACGUAGGGUGCGAGCGUUAAUCGGAAUUACUGGGCGUAAAGCGCGCGUAGGUGGUUCGUUAAGUUGGAUGUGAAAUCCCGGGCUCAACCUGGGAACUGCAUUCAAAACUGUCGAGCUAGAGUAUGGUAGAGGGUGGUGGAAUUUCCUGUGUAGCGGUGAAAUGCGUAGAUAUAGGAAGGAACACCAGUGGCGAAGGCGACCACCUGGACUGAUACUGACACUGAGGUGCGAAAGCGUGGGGAGCAAACAGG
rnacentral:rRNA from 1 species